rnacentral:tRNA from 1 species
GGAUCCGUGGCGCAAUGGUAGCGCGGCUGACUCCAGAUAAAAAGAUUGCGUGUUCGAUUCACGUCGGAUUCA